rnacentral:sRNA from 1 species
UAAGUUUAUGACAUGGGUGUAAAAGGAAGCACCAGGUUAUGGCUACAGCCCUUGGGCUGUAGUUAGGACAUCAUGGCCUAAUGCACAUCAAAUACCUUGGUUAGAUGGAACUAUAUACUGUGUUCAUCUCUUCAGGAGAUUCCCUUUCUAUUUCUAUGGAAUCCUUUUUUUUUUACUGAAUGACUUGAUGUUUUCUAUGCCUUUCCAUUAGUCAUUUGGGUGUCCAAUAGGGUUUUGUUUUAAUUGAUCCUUUAAAAAAAAAUAAUGUGUCCUAUCUAUUUGAGGUAGUAGAAAGGUUUAAUUUGUUUUCCCCACCAAAUCAUAUCAGAUGAAAUCAAUAAAGAACUGCAAUAUGCCAACAUUGGCCAGAUGUUGAGUGAAAUUCUCAAAAGAUACAAGGAAAAUAAGGACAUUAUGGGCCCAUGUGAGGAAGCACUAGCCAAACUUGGGGCUGCCCCCAAGACAAAAGACCAGAAAUCAUAGGCCCCAGCUCUUCAGAUUGCACCUCCCAGCCGGCUGUACCGGUUUGAGGGUGAGGUGCCAGAGAGCUGUGAAGCGAUGCUGCGGAAGUGGAAGGUUUGCAAUGAGACAACAUCCAAGACAGACAUCAAGAUAGAGGCUCGAGGGGACACCAAGUUAAAGGGGAAAAUGAGCUUGACCUUGGAUAUGAAUAAGAAGGUCAAGAAGAAAAGUAGUGGAAAAAUUACUGUUACCGGGUCACCUUGAGUAUAGGUUGAACAAACUGUUUGCUUUACAUUCUCCCACACUAAUGUCAAUAACAAACAUUUCAUACAAACACUGUCAAGAUGAAUGACUAGCAGUAGUUUGUAUUUUGAAACAACUUUGAUACAUUCUUUUUUUUGUGUUUGGUACUUUAUUUUGGAUAUGUUUAUACAAUGGUUUCUACUUACACACAUUUUCAAAGAUUUAUUCACAAGUUGCUUACUUUUUUUAUUUGAAUUGGAAUGCAUAAAAUAAUGCUAUAUAGUAUAUAUCUAUGAAAAUGAUAGAGCAAAAAAAACAAUUGAAACCUUAACCUCUAUGAUAAACAGUUUCUGACAUGAUUACACUAAGUUUAGCUGAAUGCUCAUUUUUUCUACAACAUGUCUGAAUGGAAAUUGUUUUUAUUCUAAUAAAAAAUUCACAAAAUUAAAAA